rnacentral:rRNA from 1 species
CCUACGGGAGGCAGCAGUAGGGAAUUUUCGUCAAUGGGCGCAAGCCUGAACGAGCAAUGCCGCGUGAACGAGGAAGGUCUUCGGAUCGUAAAGUUCUGUUGAAGGGGAAAAAGAGCGGAGAGAGGAAAUGCUUUCUGAUUGAUAUUACCCUUCGAGGCAGUCACGGCUAACUACGUGCCAGCAGCCGCGGUAAUACGUAGGUGGCGAGCGUUAUCCGGAAUGAUGGGGCGUAAAGGGUGCGUAGGCGGCCUGCUAAGUCUGGAGUGAAAGGUACCGGCUCAACCGGUACAGGCUCUGGAAACUGGCGGGCUAGAGAGCAGGAGAGGGCGGUGGAACUCCAUGUGUAGCGGUAAAAUGCGUAGAUAUAUGGAAGAACACCAGUGGCGAAGGCGGCCGCCUGGCCUGUGACUGACGCUGAGGCACGAAAGCGUGGGGAGCAAAUAGGAUUAGAUACCCUAGUAGUC